UUUACUGUGUUUUAUAAUAAGCCCUAUUAGUGCCAGUAAAGAUGAUGAAUGGCUAGGACUGUUAAUUGAAUUAAAUAUAGAUUCAAGUGUUUCUGUGGGAGCUCGUUAAAAAUGUAGUUUGAAAAUUCAUCAGCCACUAAAUUGCAGAUCGCCCAGUAAUGGGACAGUGUGUGCAACCAGAAUACAACAGCAACACUCUGCCAAGCCAUUAAUCUAUGUAAGUGUCUGCUGCAUCUUCAGCUCAGUCUGCACUGUUGAGAUGGGUGACGUCUUGACAUUCUCCCACCCGUGUUUCUAUACUGUGUGUGUCAUUCAGAGGCACACAUACACACAACAUAUUUACAGGCCUAUCAUAAACUGACUGCUGCCUGUAGCCUUGUAAUUACCAGAACUGCCGUAAAAGUUUAUGAGCAAAGUGCUGAGGAACAAGCUGUAAGGGGACAGGGGCCCAGUGGAUUUGCUCUUAAGAGGCACUGAAGAAGAGUAGCACAAAUAAAUAAACUAUUACUCUCAAAACAACAUUGUCAGGUGAAGGUGUUCACACGAAAUGAGAUGAGACAGACAGAGAGAGAGACAGAGAUGAAUGAGAAGCUGUCCCUCUGCCUUUGACCUUUGGGGCAGACAGGUGAGGUCAGUUCAGGUCAGUCAGAUGUAAUAGAGACAGAGAUGAGGUUGAGGCUGGGUCAUUCACCAGCUGUCAGUCAAACUGGCCUCCGCACUGGGUCUGGGUUUCAAUAGAUUAAUACUGUAAUUUGACAUGUGUGGAGAGAACAUCUUAGUGCAUCUCAUACUUCUACUAUACAUUAUGAAGGUGAGAAGCGAUUAGCCAUUAACUGUUUUGUGACAUACACUACAUGGAAAAAGUACUUGCACUCCCCUUGUCCACAUACUUUUGGUUUGGGACUGUUUUUCAUGGUUUGGGAUAGGGUUAUCUUAAAGGACCAGUGUGUAGGAUUUAGUGGCAUCUAGCAGUCUAGUUGUAGAAACUACCAUGGCCACAAAAUGAGUCUACAUAGAACCAGUGUUGUCCAAUCUGAGCUACUGUAGAAACCUGGCAACUUCCUUGGAAAGCGACCAGCUGUGUCUGUAGAUAAAAACGGCUUAUUCUUCUUACUAAUUCUAAUUUUCUGGUGAUUAUACACUAAUGGAAACAAAUAGUUAUGCAUAUAACAUUAAUUUUGCCAAUUAAUCCUCCUAAAUGUUACACACUGGACCUUUAAUGUUGCACUCAAUAUUUUUAUCCAUGUUCGGUCAUAUGACUAUAUGUAAUGUGAAAGGGCUCGCUCGUAUUAAUGAAAUCAAAGAGAAUUAUGACCCGACUCUGCAGUUCCUCUCAGCCCUACGCAGUGUUGUAGUGUCUUAAAAUAAAAUACAACUCUAAUAGGCAACUGUAUAUAUAUAUAUGCAAUAUGUCUGCAUACACAGAGCCCUGACCUCACACCCACCCAAAAUGUUUGGGAUGAACUGGAUCUAUCGCCCAACAUCAGUGGUCGACUGACGAUCUUGUGGGUGAAUGUGAGCAAAUCCCUGCAGCCAGGAUCCAAAAUGUCGAAUCCCUUCCCUUUUAAAUGAGGUGUUUGACAAUGACAUGGGCAUAAUAUUUUCCACAUACUUUUCUCCCAUGUAGUGUUACCAUGGUUGUAAUGGUUGACAGGAAAUUAACAUACUUUCAUAUUGUAUGCACAAACAAAUUCUUACAAUAACUAUGAAAAUUGGUCAGAGCAGCUAUUUACAAAGGCUCAUUAUUUUUUAAGCCUUCAAAAUUCUGUGAUUGAAAGAUUAUGUGUAAAUCCAAAUGCCCCUUACUGUAUCUGGGUACUUAUUAAUUGUCAGAGUUGCUGCAGGGCUCUCAGAAAACGACGUUCCUAUCAUUUUACAGUUCAUUGACUUUAGAGUCAGCUGAAAUACCAUUCAAAUAACAUUUGACACAGCUAAAAAAGUUUAACAUACUCAAUAAUAAUGAAAAUAUAUAACACACAUUUAGAUCUGACGCAGUCAGGACAUAAGAAAUGUACUUCCAAUUUUCCUGCUCAAACCGAACUUUCUCUAUGAGUGCACAUUCUUCUUUUGUACAAUGUCAAAACUCUGUACAGUCGACAACCCACCAGGAAACAGUAGAGGCAGCACAGCUUGAUUCUUAUGCCUAUAAUGUAUCCCUCAAAGUAACUGACACCAGAGUCUAGCACUCAGCGAUACCGAACCAGCCCGAAAGGCUAAGAGUCUGGUAUUACACCGAGCGGUCACUGCUGUGGUGGUAAAGUGCUGUUUUGUAAUGAGUGACAAUAGCUUCAGAUAAGGUUGACUGAUAGCCUUUAGUUGCCCUCUCUCCCUGGUGAAGUGGUGAUAUGAGUCUGCUGUCCUGAACACAAACGUUCAAAACACAAUGCCGGCUGAAACUUAAGUAGCAGAUCUGAUGGCCUCAACUCUUGUCUGGUGAAUGGAGGAUUCUGGGAACGUGUACAGACACACACACACAGACCUAUAUUUCUGGUUCUUGGACAGGACACCUCCAACAACGCUAAUUAUCGGUGGCCUCAGACACACUCUAACAGGACAGCAGAUGGGGUGAUGGAUGAGCUGUGUACAUGUGCCAGGGAGAAGUGUGUCUGUCUAUUUGAAUGUCUGUGCUUCUGUGUGUGGUCAGCAGCCCAUCGACAUACUCUGCCAGAACUAGUAAUUGAUCUGCAGGGCUACCCGGAGGAGCAAAGGGUCACGUAAGGACUUGAGGAUUCAGCCCGACCACCAGAUAAUGAGAAACAGGAGUAAAAACAGGAGUGUUAUACCAGAGUAAAGGAGGAGGUGACAUUGGUUAUCACAGGGAGCUGAAGGGAGAUUCAUGUGUUGUAUGUGUGUGUGCCACUGUCACCUCGGAUGGAGCUCCCUCCAUUGUCUCCAGGUAUCCAUG